GAUGAACGCUGGCGGCGCGCCUAACACAUGCAAGUCGAACGGCACCUGCCCUCGGGCAGAAGCGAGUGGCGAACGGCUGAGUAACACGUGGAGAACCUGCCCCCUCCCCCGGGAUAGCUGCCCGAAAGGACGGGUAAUACCGGAUACCCCCGGGCGCCGCAUGGCGCCCGGGCUAAAGCCCCGACGGGAGGGGAUGGCUCCGCGGCCCAUCAGGUAGACGGCGGGGUGACGGCCCACCGUGCCGACAACGGGUAGCCGGGUUGAGAGACCGACCGGCCAGAUUGGGACUGAGACACGGCCCAGACUCCUACGGGAGGCAGCAGUGGGGAAUCUUGCGCAAUGGGGGGAACCCUGACGCAGCGACGCCGCGUGCGGGACGGAGGCCUUCGGGUCGUAAACCGCUUUUAGCAGGGAAGAGUCAAGACUGUACC
rnacentral:rRNA from 1 species